AUUGAACGCUGGCGGCAGGCCUAACACAUGCAAGUCGAACGAGUGGCGGACGGGUGAAAAAUGUCUGGGACACUGCCUGAUGGAGGGGGAUAACUACUGGAAACGGUAGCUAAUACCGCAUACCAGCCGCUGUGACCAGGUGGGAUUCGCUAUUUGGUGGGUUAACGGCUCACCAGGGCGACGAUCCCUAGCUGGUCUGCGAGGAUGACCGGCCACACUGGAACGUAGACACGGUCCAGACUCCUACGUGAGGCAGCAGUGGGGAAUAUUGCACAAUGGGCGAAAGCCUGAUGCAGCCAUGCCGCGUGUGUGAUGAAGGCCUUCGGGUUGUAAAGUUCUGUCAUCGGGGAGGCGUUACCCGCUGAAGAAGCACCGGCUAACUACGUGCCAGCAGCCGCGGUAAUUC
rnacentral:rRNA from 1 species